CCGCCCAGGGUUCAACCCCAGGAUCUGAGUUCAGAGUUGUUUUUCUCCUGCAACAGUUAGAGUUCCCUUCAGCUGCUUUAAGCUGUGGUGUGUUUUUAACUGAUUCGGGAUCAUCUGAAGUACUUUGGGUCACCUGUAACUAAAAGUGAAUCUUACUUUGGACCCCAGGAACAAAUUCUACACACAG